CCGCCUCUUUAUCGUGUUUAUUCGAGAGAGCUGUCUUAGAAGCGGAUGCUCUUUGAAGCGGGUGCCUUGGCAAGUGAAGCUUAAAUUAAGCACUUGGAUUACCAAAAAGACAGAGGGAAAAAAGCCUGCCGGGGCUUACACUACAUAUGUCAUCGUGUAUUUGUUUUGUUUGCCUUCCCUCGAUUUGCCACACGUUCGCUAAAUGCCUGCGACGCAAUAACAAUUGUGCCAGGGAAGCACCUACAGAUGAGCGGCGGUCCCUGGCUCAAAAACCCCCUCACUGUAUUGUCAAGGGAGGAGCCAGUAAGACACGUAAUAAACGUCAUUGAUCAAAUCUUGGUAGGACGUAUGCGAGUGCAAAGGACAGAGAAGCCAGUUCCACUUGGGGUGCAGAAGGGCUUAACUUUAAUUUCGUUGCACAGCCCAGGAACCAGCGGGUUCCAGAAGCUUUCGGGGCUCCAUCUGACACAAGAAUUGUCAUCUAGUAUGUCAAUGACGACAUAGGGGAAGAGACCCUGACCGUCCGACACAGUAGAGCUCCAUGCAUGACUUAUCCAUGAAGAUGAGUCCCGUUGGGCUUCUCCCGCGGGCAGUGGUUUCUGCCCUUGUCCGCUGGCGAAAGUUCCCGGGGCGCGAACAGAGCCAGCAUGGAGAAUUCCUCUUCUGCACGCACGCUAGUGAGCCACUGAGCAUCACGGACACUCGCGGGGCUCGUGGGGACCUUGGAGGACACGUGGUCAACUAGCUGAUGCUACGGACGGCGUAUUCAUCUUCACAAAGCCCUUGGCCACACAGCAGAGCGGUGCGGGUGCCCGAAUCCUGGCCGAGCAACUUCCCAGCGGAGUGGCGUCUGGGAAGUUACUGUCCACUUUAUCUCUAAAAUGGUUAUGCGGCUAAAUCGAGGCAGGCUGUAACGAGAGAGACGGGGAGGCGGAUGCGACGCCUUCUACGUUGGCCGCCAGAAGGAGCCUGCCGGCCGCGGAACCCACUGAGGCCCCCUUAGAGCCAUGAGCCGCGGGAAAAACAGCCUUGCCACCCCAAGAAGGGGGAGGACUCCCCAAGGGUUAAAAGACUCGCAUUCCCAAAGUCACCCGAAGGUCCUUCUUCUCAUAUGAUCUGGCAAACAGCUGCCUUUACUGGAGGCAGUUGCACAGGUAGGUGCUAAAGGUCUCCGUGGUAAACGCAUCAUGUACGGCGUGAAGUCACAUGUGCCUUUCCGAGAGCCAAGAUCUUGCAAAGGUAUGAACACGAGAACAAAACGAACCUUCCCGUGGAGGCACAGAAAAGAUCCAAUCAGCUCCUCGUUUCUGACCAGCCUGCGGUUCGGAAAUGGGGAGAGUGUUCUCCGACAAGCACACAACAACAGCAGAUAGCCAGAGAACAAACAAGAAAAACGGCAAACGGAAAUGUCACACACAUUCAGGUGAGCGGGUUGAUCUCCGCGCGUAAACAUCAGCUCCCAGCCCGCCAGGCAGAGAGGAAACUUUUCAGAGGGCUGUCAGGGUGUAAGUCUAUUUAAGAUUCGGCGCUGCAAGCAUAAAAGAACCUGUCAUCAGUUUGCUUCUUUUCAGAGACCUGUUUGUUUAGCUGGAAUAUUCUACUGACGGUUACAUAAAGGAGGAGGGGAGCACAAAGGAUCCAGGUGGAGAACCUGAAAAAAAGAAGAAAAAAAAACCCCAACUUGUUUUGGUCUCAUGUGGGUAAUGCCCUCUCUCUUUGCUUGCUUUUCAGGAGCGGGGCGCGUUCAAAGCCUCGCCCUCCGGCUGCGCGCAUUACUGUCUACCUUCCUCGACUUUGCUGUGCCACUGUCCUCGUUCGUUAUUUCUUUUCUCUUCCCAUAAAUAGCUCCCCAGAUCUCGUUUCCCGCGUCUCUACUUUAUUUCCGCCUCGUAGGGAGAAGUUUGAAACGUUUGGGAGAGCGCGUCCUAGCGAAAAGUCCAGGAAAAGUGGAAGAAUGCUGAACGUGUUCCGUAAUGACCACAUGGCACCCGUUACACAGGAAUUCAGGGCUCCGGCAGGGCGACGAAAAGAGUGCUGCCGUUAAGCAGAUCUGCCUGGUUUACUUGGCGCAAACCAUAAAAAGAAAUCAGUAUCUCUCUCCACCUUCUGGAGCCUCCAAAGUCCCCUCCCGGCUGCGGCGGUCAGGCCGAGCCUGGGGGCCCCAGUGGUGAGCCUGUUCAGCUCCAGUCCUCCCGGGGCCUGUCCAUCAAGCUCGGAAUGAACCGAACCUUCUCACCGAGACUUGCAACACCCACAUGCUUUGCUUUUCCAGGAACCCACCCCUGUCUGUUUAUCAGAGUCUCAUCAGCCUCUCUGCCCGGCAGGCAGCCUCCGGGAGGUCAGGACUUUAUCGGCAGCCUGCAGCACCAACAGGGCCCGGUGUUGGGGAACUGUCGUCAAAGAUCAGUCUCCUGCCAACCCAGAGAAGCCUCUCCACAAAGCUACCUUCUACACAGCGAUGAUUAAUGUCGUAGAUGGCGGUUGGCCAUUACCUCUCAGCCUCUCCUCUCUGGGCUGGCGGAGGGCAGAACGGAGUUUUCCCGCUUACAUCACAUCCUCAGUUCCUGGCGCUGCCUUUUUAACGUUUGUUUAUUUUUGAGAGACAGAGAGACGGAGCACCAAAGCGGGCCCCGGGGUUCCGAGCUGUCCGCACGGAGUCCGACGCGGGGCUCGAACCCACAAACCGUGAGAUCAUGACCCGAGCCGAAGUCCGACGCUGAACCGACUGAGCCACGCAGGCGCCCCCCCCCCCCCCCCCCCGCCCUGGCACUGUCUUUUGUGCUGUCCGUGUCCCACGUUUUCUGGGGGCCUCGCUGGCCAUGUUGGGAGCACUGCCUGGGAAACCUUUUUGUGCUCAGGCUGGUCAAUCCUGCCCCGUGCCCCCAGGGAAGGCCCUGUGUGUCUUGCCCUAUGGUGAUCUCUCACCAAGUGUGAAAUAAACAAAUGCUCUCAUGUCACGUUUCUUUCAGAUAGUGCUCGUCACCAUGACGCCGGCCCCGGGCCCGUAGGGCACAUUCACCUUCCCACCAGACGAAUUUCUCCACGAGGAGAGAACGUGGGAAGGCUAGACGCUCUCCCAUGUGCCGAGGAAGGGUAGGCUGUGAUCUUAGGAAAUGAAGGAAGAUUCUUCUUUGAUAGUGAGUCUCCAGAGAACAGGAAAUACUGUCCCUGCACCCGGAGACUAAAGAAACGUUGUCGCGGAGGUCCAUCAGGGUCCACCUGGCCUUUCUAGCCGCCUCCACAAAUACUGCCGUAGCCCAGAUGGCUCCCCACAGGCUGCCUGAUCCAGACCGUGUUCCAAGACGAGCACACCGCUGACCGUGACCGCCCGGGAGGUAGGACAUUGUGUCUGGAAGAGAGGCUAUCUAAGCGCAAGAGUGAAUGCUUGCCCAGGGCACCCUCAAUCAUCAACUCCUUCAUCAGACAACAAAGGCUCAGGACUUAAAACUCUAUUUUUGGGGGGCACCUGGGUGGUGCAGUCGG